UACGAAGGGUGCAAACGUUGCUCGGAAUCAUUGGGCGUAAAGCGCACGUAGGCGGCUUCGCAAGUCGGAUGUGAAAUCCCUCGGCUCAACCGAGGACGUGCACCCGAAACUGCGAAGCUUGAGCACUGAAGAGGAUCGCGGAAUUCCCGGUGUAGAGGUGAAAUUCGUAGAUAUCGGGAGGAACACCAGUGGCGAAGGCGGCGAUCUGGGCAGAUACUGACGCUGAGGUGCGAAAGCGUGGGGAGCAAACAGG
rnacentral:rRNA from 1 species